GACUUGACAUCUCCUGAAUUACUCUUAAUCGAGGAAGUCCCUUCGGGGACAGGAAGACAGGUGGUGCAUGGUUGUCGUCAGCUCGUGUCGUGAGAUGUUGGGUUAAGUCCCGCAACGAGCGCAACCCUUAUUGUUAGUUGCUACUAUUAAGUUAAGCACUCUAACGAGACUGCCGCGGUUAACGUGGAGGAAGGUGGGGAUGACGUCAAAUCAUCAUGCCCCUUAUGUCUAGGGCUACACACGUGCUACAAUGGCUGGUACAACGAGCAGCAAACCCGCGAGGGGGAGCAAAACUUGAAAGCCAGUCCCAGUUCGGAUUGUAGGCUGAAACUCGCCUACAUGAAGUUGGAGUUGCUAGUAAUCGCGAAUCAGCAUGUCGCGGUGAAUACGUUCCCGGGUCUUGUACACACCGCCCGUCACACCAUGAGAGCCGGUAACACCCGAAGCCCGUGAGGUAACCGUAAGGAGCCAGCGGUCGAAGGUGGGAUUGGUGAUUGGGGUGAAGUCGUAACAAGGUAGCCGUAGGAGAACCUGCGGCUGGAUCCCCUCCUUUCUAGGGA
rnacentral:rRNA from 1 species